GGCGGUCCGCGGGCGCGCAGGGGACGCCGACUCCCGCCUGUUGGCUCGGCGUCUCCGCGGGGACAGCACGGGGGGCAGCGCCGGUCGCGGGAGCGCGCAGGGGUUCGGGCGCGGUCCCCGCCCGCAGCGCGACGCCGAUGGGUGUGACGCGCGCGGCGGCGGCGCUCCCCCUGCGCCGGCGGGGAGGCGGCCCUGCGCCCUGACCGGCGCUGUGCCGGCUCCGCGCGGCGGGGACACGGGCUCCGCGGGCGGCCCGGCGCUCCGGGGGUGGCAACGCCCGCGGUGCGCGGCGCGGAGGCGGAUCGGUAGCGCCGGAGCGCGCUGCGCAGGGCACGGCACGGCACGGCGAUGUAGGGGACAUGCCCUGACGGGACGGCGAACGGACGGGCGCCGCCUACGAGGGGGAGCAGCGCCAGCGGAGCCGCCCGCGGGCGGAUCGGCAGCAGCCGGCGAGGCCCCCGGGCUCCGCCGCGAUGGCUGGGCCCGGGCUCUGGACGAGCAUCAAGUCCCUGCUGCGGAGAAGCGAGGACCCCUUGUUCCUGAACGACUCCAGUGCCUUUGACUUCUCGGACGAGGCGGGGGACGAGGACUUCCCUCGGUUUAACAAGCUGCGGGUGGUGGUGUCAGACGACGCCUCGGAGGCGGCCCCGGAGACGCCGGUGGCCGGGGCGCCCCUAGGCCUGCCCUCCGACGACGAGUCCCUGCUGGAGCGGGCCGGAGCCCGCCCCGGCCGGCCGGCCCCCUGCGGCGGCUGCAGCAGCCGGCGGGAGCGCUCCAGGCAGAGGACGGUGAAGAAGCGGCUGACGCUCGCUGCCCUCCUCUACCUCCUCUUCAUGACCGGGGAGCUCGUAGGUGGAUAUGUUGCUAACAGUCUAGCAAUUAUGACAGAUGCACUUCAUAUGUUAACUGACCUUAGCGGUAUUAUUUUGACCCUGCUUGCCCUCUGGCUGUCUGCAAAAUCUCCCACAAAGAGGUUCACUUUUGGAUUUCAUCGCUUAGAAGUAUUGUCUGCCAUCAUUAGUGUAUUGCUGGUCUAUAUCCUUAUGGCAUUCCUCUUGUAUGAAGCCGUUCAAAGAACUAUCCAUAUGGACUAUGAAAUAAAUGGCGAUAUCAUGCUGAUUACAGCAGCCGUUGGUGUUGCAGUUAACUUAAUAAUGGGUUUUUUGCUGAAUCAGUCUGGCCACCUUCACUCCCACUCCCAUUCCCACCCUCACUCUCACGUACCUCAGUCGAACUCUCCUAACACAGCCCACAGCAGCAGCCACGGGCACAGCAGCCUUGCCGUGAGAGCAGCGUUUGUACAUGCCCUUGGGGACCUGGUACAAAGCAUUGGUGUGCUCGUGGCUGCAUACAUCAUUCGCUUUAAGCCAGAAUACAAGAUUGCUGAUCCUAUAUGUACAUAUGUAUUCUCCAUACUGGUGGUUUUGACAACAGUUCGAAUUCUGUGUGACACAGGAGUUAUUAUUCUGGAAGGUACUGUUGUAUUACUUGUGUGCUUCUACUGUUGCCGUAGGUGAAGCUACAGGUAAAAGAGUGGUGUAAAGAGGAAUAAGGAAAAAAAGGGAAGAAAAAGCUGAACACAAGCUAAAGCAUGUUGUCUCAUGUGGUGACUUAGAAGGAAAGAUGCCAGCAUUAUUUGCAUUAUCACAGCUAACAUGCCAACUACUACUGCUUGAUCUAGUACUUUUACCUUAUGAAAGUGAAGGUGUUAGGGAUGGGAGAAAAAUCCUCGGUUUCAGUUGCCUCUUCCUAGCUGUCUCAUGUGAGCUAUUAUUGACUUGACUUUUAUUAUGUUACAAGGUUUAACCAAGAACCUCAAAAUCUUCACUGUCGAGUGCUUUUGGUGUCAUGUAGGAGGGAAAAAAAAAAACCAAACCCACAACAAUCUAACCAAGCUAAAUGGUGAAAUUUGCUUAAGAAACCUCAGUGAGCUCCAAGGCAAUAGCUAAGAUUUAUGUGAAGAAAACAGAUAAGACAAAAUAAUAGUGUGUCAAAUUCCAGAUGUUGUCAGUUGUAGCUGUUUGCAUAGGUAUGCCGGUUGUCAUAAGAUCUUCAAAUUAAUGAUGUUAUUAAAAGCGAUGGUAGGUAGGCUGUAUGUAUGCUAGGGAAUUUUUUCAACUCAAAUUCAGGAUUUCCAGAGAAGAGACUUGCAUUUAUUGGAGACUGCUACUACAACAUCAAGGUCCUUGCACUUGUAUCAGCUUUCAGUAUUAAUUUUAAGUUUCAUCAUUAUACUAGGAAUGCUAAAUUAAAAACUUAAAUGAUUAUCUAAUAAAAGCAACAAGAUUCUAGCUUUUAAUAUAUAUUUAUAAGGCAGCAUGAAAGUCUGAAGAUGCUGAAUUUUCAAAAGAGAUGAUACUGGAACUAUCAUGAUUUAAAAACAGUGAAGUAGCAAGUUCAGAGAGGAGUCACUUCAGAAAUUCUGAAGGAAAUUGAGAAGCAAGUGGCUGAACACCUCAUGGCAUAUAUAAUCAAACUCCAUAAAACUGGAAGAUAAGCAGUAAAAGAUAAGAUAGAAACAAAACUAUUUGGAAAGAAGAGUUUAUUCAGUACUUUUGUACUAGUUUUUGACCCAUGUCAAUCAUUUGAAAUUUUGAUUCUGCCCUUUGUACAGAUGAAGGGUGGAGGAGGGAAGUUAUAGAGGUGCUGUAGCUGCUGAAACUACUACAUCCAGAAGGACUUGGUCAGUGCAAUCAUUGAUGUGCAAAGAUGCCACACUGUAAGACGAAAGUCGUAUGUGUUAACCACUGCAGAUGGAUUACUAUGAGCGUUUGAAAAUGAUACCAGGUACCUGAAGAGAGAAGUUUCAGGACACAGGCCCUAGCAUGUUGGUUUUCUAGAUUCUGACCUUAGAGUCUGGUCUAAGCAGUUACGAGGGGUUAGAAGCUGCAGUAAUAUUGUCUACAUAAGUACAUCGCACCAAAGGAUCUAAUGCUGGCUAUUGCCAGAAGUUCUGCACAGGACAAAUUAUGUUUAAGACAAUACUGCAGUUACUGUCCAACUUCUGUAUCCAUAUUUGACAAUAUGCCAAUUUGCAUAUUCUUCUCUAUUGAUAACUUAGAAGUUACUGAUCACUUCACCAGCACAAAUUAUAAACUCUUUUGAGAUCUGUCAUGACAUUUUAAAGGCCACUAAGAGUUUGCAGAAGACAGAAUUAAUUCUAUCUCAUGUUUGGUAUCACAGGAGUUCCAAGGCAUUUAAAUGUGGAUCGCAUUAAAGAAGACUUGAUGAAAAUUGAAGACGUUUAUUCUAUAGAAGACUUAAAUGUUUGGUCUCUCACUGCUGGAAAAACAACUGCCAUAGUCCACUUGCAACUAGUUCCUGGUAGUUCAUCUAAAUGGGAGGAAGUUCAGUCCAAGGCUCGACAACUGCUGCUGAACACAUUUGGAAUGUACAAGUGCUCUGUCCAGCUUCAGAGUUACAAACAGGAAAUGAGCAAAACCUGUGCAAGUUGUCAGAGUUCCAGUGCCUAAUUUCAUAUGUUUUGGGAACUGCUGCCUUAUUCUUUAUCUUGUAGUCAAAGACUGAGAGCAAUAAAUGCAAAACGAAAAUGAUGAAAUAGACACCAUUAAUAUGUGGAUUUGUACCAUGUAACAUGCAGCAGGGAGAACUGGUGCUGCAGAAAGUGCAGUGGUUGCCCUACAGAACAUGUAUUUCACUCUCUCCCUUGUACUGUUUAUUCAAGUUAUGAUGAUUUGGAGACAAAGCUGUUUUCAGAUUAUUGUUUACAAACUGCAACAUGGCUCUGCAGAUACCUCACAAAUUACAGUCCCAUAUUGUCCUUGAAUAACUAUGUACCACAAAGUACCUGCACUCCAAAUGGAGCAUCGAGUAUUCAGUAUUUCAGUUCAAGUCUCUAAUGCUGAUCAUGCCAGGACUCCAUAUGUCAUGAUCCCUGAAAUCAUUAUACAGUAUUUUUGCAAUAGUAAUUUUCAUACAGUAUCUUAAGACUAUAAUGCAUACAGUGUUAGUUGAAUUCUUUUGGAAACUGUCUCUUUGGAGACACUGCAAAAUACAGCAUUUACUGUAUCCAGACCAGAAAGUUAGCUUUAAUCUGGGCAUUCAGAGAUCCAGACAGAAAGAUCCUUGCCCAGACUUCUGGUAUUUAACUAGAGACCCAACACUGGACCCAAAGUGUUUUAAGUGAUCAGUUAUCUUUAAUGUAUUUUAGAAUAGGGUUUAUACAUUAGAAACAGGUUAUUUAUUUUACAGAGUUUUGACUUGUAAGAUGAAUUUGUUAUUAAUGAUCUUGAAUGUCUAAACCAACAUUUGAUUGACAUUAAAAGGCCAGUUGAUUAGCAUACCUUCUAUUAUAAUUAAUAAAUGUCCUGUAAUCGAUUAUUUUUCCAAGAUCAUUUUGAAAGAAAAGUCAAAUGACAGAAACUAUGCUUGACAUGGAGAUACGCUAAAACACAAUCAACAGACAUGCAAAAUACAUCUAACAGGAAAGCGAGAGCAGAAGUUUUAGAUAUGUACUAUUCCCUCAGUCACAGAUAUCUCUGACCUUUUCAACUUUGCUUUGAGCACACUAUGGCAGUAUCCUGACAGGAAUGCCACUGCAAUAACAGUCCCCACUACUUAGCUUUAUUCAUAAAGCAAAAUCCAAGCAAGCUCAGUAACCUAAUGGUGUUGGACAAAAAUAUCAUAACAACCAACAGAGGUAGAAAGGCCUUUUCUUAUUUACAGAAGAAUGAGGCAAUUUGAAGACUAUUUAUUCAUCCGGACACCUCAAAAUCUGCAAAACUGAAUUUCUUCACCUCACGGUGGAAUCCCUGUACUCCAAAUGUACAUAGGAUAACCAAACCUGACACCAUGCUAUCAUACACGUUGAAACGCAGAUCUGCGCCUGCUUCUGAAGUCAUUUAUGUUGAAGAAGCUAAGGGCAACAAGAAUACGACCUGCAAAGUUCAGAAGAUGGGAGGAACUUGGCUUCAGAGAUUUUUUGCUUAUUCUGUACUUUGGUCUUUAUGCAGAACUUCCACUGACAUCAAAAGUAGUUCUCUGUGUGGAUCAGAAAGGAAAAUUUUUGCCCAGUGAUGGAUAUUGUGAUAUUCAGCUGUGAAUACUUAAGCUAUUGUCUGUUUUGAAACUUGCUAGGGUUUCACAUACUCAUCAGGCUGAUCUGUACCUGCAAUUUGGAGUAACAGUCCUGGCUUCUUGUCUUUCCUUAUUUGAGGUAGGGGUCACACGAUGACUUUUUAUGGGUGAAAACUGACAGCACAGUAUUAAUUUGGACAAAGUGCAUGUAACACUGGAUUAUGUUUAUAUCUGUUCUGGCAAGAAAUGGGAACAUUUGAGUACAGCAUGGGAGCACAUACAGCUCAGAGGCCAAGUACCACCCGUACUUGGGAAGUUAAUGCUUCAGUACAAACACCAUCAUUCAUUAAGCCAUAUCACAGUUUAUGAAGAAUGUGCAUCCCAUCCUUACA